CGGACAAAGGCAGCUAUUAUGUCUUGGAAGAGCCUUACUAAAGAGAAGCAGCAUUCUUGUUUUAGAUGAAGCCACAGCCUCUGUUGACUCUGCAACUGACGGUGUGAUUCAGAAGAUCAGCAGUCCAGAGUUCA